rnacentral:rRNA from 1 species
AGCGAACGCUGGCGGCAGGCCUAACACAUGCAAGUCGAACGAAGUCUUCGGACUUAGUGGCGGACGGGUGAGUAACACGUGGGAACGUGCCUUUAGGUUCGGAAUAACUCAGGGAAACUUGUGCUAAUACCGAAUGUGCCCUUCGGGGGAAAGAUUUAUCGCCUUUAGAGCGGCCCGCGUCUGAUUAGCUAGUUGGUGAGGUAAAGGCUCACCAAGGCUACGAUCAGUAGCUGGUCUGAGAGGAUGGCCAGCCACAUUGGGACUGAGACACGGCCCUAACUCCUACGGGAGGCAGCAGUGGGGAAUCUUGCGCAAUGGGCGAAAGCCUGACGCAGCCAUGCCGCGUGGAUGAUGAAGGUCUUAGGAUUGUAAAAUCCUUUCACCGGUGAAGAUAAUGACUGUAGCCGGAGAAGAAGCCCCGGCUAACUUCGUGCCAGCAGCCGCCGUAACAC